rnacentral:lncRNA from 1 species
GUCGGGGCGACAGAGCAAUCUAUUCUUAACCAGUGCCUCCUAGAUUUUCUGCAGCGGCGUCUUUUUUUCUGAAACACAUCUUCUGACUUGCCAUUCAUCUUCUUUCCCUACUGUGCUUACAUUCCCUUCAGUAUGGUUAGGGAACGGGUUCCCAGUUACAUUACUGGCACUAUCAAAUCGUAGGAUACCCGCAUCAAUUAACCUCUUAAAGGCUAGGCAAUUUUCCGUGGAAUGUCCCUGGUUUCCCGCAUGGUAUGCACA